rnacentral:rRNA from 1 species
CCUACGGGCGGCAGCAGUGGGGAAUAUUGCGCAAUGGGCGAAAGCCUGACGCAGCGACGCCGCGUGAGGGAUGAAGGUCUUCGGAUCGUAAACCUCUGUCAGCAGGGAAGAACGGUCACUGUGCUAAUCAGCAGUGAAUUGACGGUACCUGCAAAGGAAGCACCGGCUAACUCCGUGCCAGCAGCCGCGGUAAUACGGAGGGUGCGAGCGUUAAUCGGAAUUACUGGGCGUAAAGCGCUCGUAGGCGGUAUGUCAAGUCAAGGGGGAAAUCCCCGCGCUCAACGUGGGAACUGCCUUUGAAACUGGCAAACUGGAGUGUGUUAGAGGAUAGUGGAAUUCCAGGUGUAGGAGUGAAAUCCGUAGAUAUCUGGAGGAACAUCAGUGGCGAAGGCGACUAUCUGGCACAUAACUGACGCUGAGGAGCGAAAGCGUGGGUAGCAAACAGGAUUAGAUACCCCGGUAGUC